rnacentral:rRNA from 1 species
CCAGACCCCUACGGGAGGCAGCAGUGGGGAAUAUUGCACAAUGGGGGAAACCCUGAUGCAGCGACGCCGCGUGGGUGAAGAAGUCAUUCGUGACGUAAAGCUCUAUCAGCAGGGAAGAAAAUGACGGUACCUGACUAAGAAGCCCCGGCUAACUACGUGCCAGCAGCCGCGGUAAUACGUAGGGGGCAAGCGUUAUCCGGAUUUACUGGGUGUAAAGGGAGCGUAGACGGCAGCGCAAGUCUGAAGUGAAAUGCCGGAGCUUAACCCCGGAACUGCUUUGGAAACUGAGCAGCUAGAGUGCAGGAGGGGCAGGCGGAAUUCCUGGUGUAGCGGUGAAAUGCGUAGAUAUCAGGAGGAACACCGGUGGCGAAGGCGGCCUGCUGGACUGCAACUGACGUUGAGGCCCGAAAGCGUGGGGAGCAAACAGGAUUAGAUACCCUUGUA